UGAAAUAUUUUAAAGAUGUAGAUUUAGUUCGCGACUCAACCUAAUAUUUUGUUCGAUGAAAUUAUUUUAUGUUCAUGUUCGAGAAUUGAAGAAACAAUGUUAAUAUAUUAUAUUAUCAACCAUGUCUAUCAAGCACGCCGUCGUUCUAGUUUAUCUUAAUUAGCUAUUUCAUUUUCAACGUAAACAUUUCAAGGAACUCCAAAAGUUGCUUAUGGUUAAUUGACAAAGGGUUGGAGUAUCAAAGACCAAGAAUUACUCCCGAGAAUCAGGCCAAUAGCGAUCCAAGUUAGAAAUUUGAGGAAAUUAGUAAAAGCCAAUUCGCUAGGUGAGCCCAAAGCGAGCCAAAUCAGCGAGUUAAAAGGUGGAUUGCAAGAGUUGAUUCACUAAGCAAGCAUCGAUUCACUUUAAGGCAACAUUAGUGACAUGUUGUAUUAGUUGGAAAUUACUUCACAUUGAAGAAACCUCAGCGAGCACCUGUUCGCUUAGCAAAUCUUCCCUUUUAUGCAAAGCAUAUAAAGCAACUCAGAAACCAAAUUUGGGCAUUCUUACACUUCUGGAAGGAAACAUAGAUAAAGGCACAUAGUAGAGAAUGGUGAGCAAACAAGGUUGGGGAGGCUUGGAAGCUUGGACAUCAAGAUUUCAUGUUAUUUCAGCUCAUUCUCACUUCUUUGUACUAGAUAACAUGGGUAUCUGUAGCUAAAUUUCCUCGGUCAAAACUCUCUUAUUUGACCAGAACACCUUAAUGUCUUAGGUGAGUUUGUUCCCAUUGAAAGUUUGAUUGAACGUUAAAACUAUGCAUCAAAAUUCUAAAAUCCAAUAUUUCUAAAACUAUUAUCGAUUGAA